rnacentral:rRNA from 1 species
GAUGAACGCUGGCGGCGUGCCUAAUACAUGCAAGUCGAGCGAACGGACGAGAAGCUUGCUUCUCUGAUGUUAGCGGCGGACGGGUGAGUAACACGUGGAUAACCUACCUAUAAGACUGGGAUAACUUCGGGAAACCGGAGCUAAUACCGGAUAAUAUUUUGAACCGCAUGGUUCAAAAGUGAAAGACGGUCUUGCUGUCACUUAUAGAUGGAUCCGCGCUGCAUUAGCUAGUUGGUAAGGUAACGGCUUACCAAGGCAACGAUGCAUAGCCGACCUGAGAGGGUGAUCGGCCACACUGGAACUGAGACACGGUCCAGACUCCUACGGGAGGCGGCAGUAGGGAAUCUUCCGCAAUGGGCGAAAGCCUGACGGAGCAACGCCGCGUGAGUGGUGAAGGUCUUCGGAUCGUAAAACUCUGUUAUUAGGGAAGAACAUAUGUGUAAGUAACUGUGCACAUCUUGACGGUACCUAAUCAGAAAGCCACGGCUAACUACGUG